GGCAGCAUGGUCUUAGCUUGCUAAGGCUGAUGGCGACCGGCGCACGGGUGAGUAACACGUAUCCAACCUGCCGUCUACUCUUGGCCAGCCUUCUGAAAGGAAGAUUAAUCCAGGAUGGCAUCAUGAGUUCACAUGUCCGCAUGAUUAAAGGUAUUUUCCGGUAGACGAUGGGGAUGCGUUCCAUUAGAUAGUAGGCGGGGUAACGGCCCACCUAGUCAACGAUGGAUAGGGGUUCUGAGAGGAAGGUCCCCCACAUUGGAACUGAGACACGGUCCAAACUCCUACGGGAGGCAGCAGUGAGGAAUAUUGGUCAAUGGGCGAUGGCCUGAACCAGCCAAGUAGCGUGAAGGAUGACUGCCCUAUGGGUUGUAAACUUCUUUUAUAAAGGAAUAAAGUCGGGUAUGCAUACCCGUUUGCAUGUACUUUAUGAAUAAGGAUCGGCUAACUCCGUGCCAGCAGCCGCGGUAAUACGGAGGAUCCGAGCGUUAUCCGGAUUUAUUGGGUUUAAAGGGAGCGUAGAUGGAUGUUUAAGUCAGUUGUGAAAGUUUGCGGCUCAACCGUAAAAUUGCAGUUGAUACUGGAUGUCUUGAGUGCAGUUGAGGCAGGCGGAAUUCGUGGUGUAGCGGUGAAAUGCUUAGAUA
rnacentral:rRNA from 1 species